CAGUAGCCACGGUAAUACGAAGGGGGCUAGCGUUGUUCGGAUUUACUGGGCGUAAAGGGCGCGUAGGCGGACUGAUAAGUCAGGGGUGAAAUCCCAAGGCUCAACCUUGGAACUGCCUUUGAUACUGUUUGUCUUGAGUUCGAGAGAGGUAAGUGGAACUGCGAGUGUAGAGGUGAAAUUCGUAGAUAUUCGGAGGAACACCAGUGGCGAAGGCGGCUCACUGGUCCAUUACUGACGCUGAGGUGCGAAAGCGUGGGGAGCAAACAGGAUUAGAUACCCCGGUAGUCCCUGUCUCUUAUAC
rnacentral:rRNA from 1 species